rnacentral:rRNA from 1 species
GACGAACGCUGGCGGCGUGCUUAACACAUGCAAGUCGAACGGAAAGGCCUGCUUUCCCUUGUGGAUUGCGGGUACUCGAGUGGCGAACGGGUGAGUAACACGGGAGUGAUCUGCCCCCAACUUGGGUAUAAGCCUGGGAAACUGGGUCUAAUUCCCGAUAGGACUGCAGGGUGGUGCCUGUGGUGGAAAACGAUUUUCUAGUGGUUGGGGAUGAGCUCGCGGCCUAUCAGCUUGUUGGUGGGGUAAUGGCCUACCAAGGCGGCGACGGGUAGCCGGCCUGAGAGGGUGGACGGCCACAUUGGGACUGAGAUACGGCCCAGACUCCUACGGGAGGCAGCAGUGGGGAAUAUUGCACAAUGGGCGGAAGCCUGAUGCAGCGACGCCGCGUGGGGGAUGACGGCCUUCGGGUUGUAAACUCCUUUCGACCGCGAGGAAGCCACCUGGUUGGAAGGGUGGUGACGGUAGUGGUAGAAGAAGCACCGGCUAACUACGUG